rnacentral:rRNA from 1 species
AAAGUGCGGCUGGAUCACCUCCUU